AGCAGCCGCGGUAAUUCCAGCUCCAAUAGCGUAUAUUAAAGUUGUUGCAGUUAAAAAGCUCGUAGUUGAAUUUCGGAAUCAAUGGAUCGGUCAUGCCACUCGGUGUGUACUGGUUUGAUUGGUUCUCACCUUCUAAGGAACCGUGAUGUCAUUAAUUUGGUGUCGCGGGGAAUUAGGACUGUUACCUUGAAAAAAUUAGAGUGUUUAAAGCAAGCUCACGCUUGAAUACAUUAGCAUGGAAUAAUGAAAUAGGACAUUGUAUUCUAUUUUGUUGGUUUCUAGGAUCGAUGUAAUGAUUAAUAGGGAUAGUUGGGGGCAUUAGUAUUCAAUUGUCAGAGGUGAAAUUCUUGGAUUUAUUGAAGACUAACUACUGCGAAAGCAUUUGCCAAGGAUGUUUUCAUUAAUCAAGAACGAAAGUUAGGGGAUCGAAGACGAUCAGAUACCGUCGUGGUCUUAACCAUAAACUAUGCCGACUAGGGAUCGGAUGAUGUUAAUUUUUAAUGA
rnacentral:rRNA from 1 species